GACGAACGCUGGCGGCGUGCUUAACACAUGCAAGUCGAACGGAAAGGCCCCUUUGGGGGUCCUCGAGUGGCGAACGGGUGAGUAACACGUGAGUAACCUGCCCUUGACUUCGGGAUAACUUCAGGAAACUGGGGCUAAUACCGGAUAGGAAUCCUUGCUGCAUGGUGGGGGUUGGAAAGCUUCGGCGGUUUUGGAUGGACUCGCGGCUUAUCAGCUUGUUGGUGGGGUAGUGGCUUACCAAGGCUUUGACGGGUAGCCGGCCUGAGAGGGCGACCGGCCACAUUGGGACUGAGAUACGGCCCAGACUCCUACGGGGGGCAGCAGUGGGGAAUAUUGCACAAUGGGCGGAAGCCUGAUGCAGCAACGCCGCGGGCGGGAUGACGGCCUUCGGGUUGGAAACCGCUUUCAGCAGGGGCGAAGCUUGUGGUGACGGUACCUGCAGAAGAAGCACCGGCUAACUACGUG
rnacentral:rRNA from 1 species